CCUACGGGUGGCAGCAGUGGGGAAUAUUGCACAAUGGGGGGAACCUUGAUGCAGCAACGCCGCGUGGGUGAAGAAGUACUCCGGUAUGUAAAGCCCUGUCAGCAGGGAAGAAAAUGACGGUACCUGACCAAGAAGCCCCGGCUAACUACGUGCCAGCAGCCGCGGUAAUACGUAGGGGGCAAGCGUUAUCCGGAUUUACUGGGUGUAAAGGGAGCGUAGACGGCAAGGCAAGUCUGGAGUGAAAGCCCGUGGCCCAACCACGGGACUGCUUUGGAAACUGUGUUGCUGGAGUGCAGGAGGGGUAAGCGGAAUUCCUAGUGUAGCGGUGAAAUGCGUAGAUAUUAGAAAGAACACCAAUAGCGUAGGCAGGUUACUGGGACGGUUCUGACACUAAGGCACGAAAGCGUAGGGAGCAAACGGGAUUAGAUACCCGUGUAGUC
rnacentral:rRNA from 1 species